UACGAAGGGGCUAGCGUUGCUCGGAAUCACUGGGCGUAAAGCGCACGUAGGCGGACUCUUAAGUCGGUGGUGAAAUCCUGGAGCUCAACUCCAGAACUGCCUUCGAUACUGAGAGUCUCGAGUCCGGGAGAGGUGAGUGGAACUGCGAGUGUAGAGGUGAAAUUCGUAGAUAUUCGCAAGAACACCAGUGGCGAAGGCGGCUCUGGCCCGGUACUGACGCUGAGGUGCGAAAGCGUGGGGAGCAAACAGG
rnacentral:rRNA from 1 species